GAGGGGCUGUGCGCAUGCGCGGGUGCAUCCCACCGGGGCUGCGGGGCCCCGUCUGGAAAACCCUGGUCAUGCUGAAAGUGACUGUUCCUGUUGAAGCCUUGAGCAGUGAUCUAGCAGGUGUGUAAAGCUGGUCGUGCUUCUGUGCCCCUUGGUUCAUUUCAUACGCAGGAAGAGGAGCCUUACUGAGAUUGCUGUUACCAUACCUGCCUGUCACCUUGCUAAGAGCUGAGGCUUUAAAGACCUCAGGGACUGCUUUCAGUACUCACAGAAACCACUUACACCCUGGUGAUGGCACAGAGGGACUGUUUUCUUACUCUUCAUCUGAAAGACUGUCAAGAAGGAAGGCAAAGAUAGAGCAAUUGGAUCUCUGACUCUCCUUGUAGCCUCUGAUCUCAGACCUUAUUAAACCCGUUUCUGAGCCCAAGGACAAAGAUCAAUUGAACAAAUGAUUUUGAGUCAUGAAUGAAAAAUCUUGCUCUUUCCAUAAUGAGAAGGAAUUAAGAGAUGGACAGGGUGAAAGAGUGUCUGCUGGGUUCUCUCCAUCACAUGACAAGGACAACAGUGCUCUUGUGGCUUUCAGAGGAAUUCCUAUCUCAGAGCUGAAGAACCGUGGCAUUCUCCGGGCCCUGACAACAGAAGCUAAUGAAUGGGAGACAGCUGGUAAGGUCCCC